rnacentral:rRNA from 1 species
UACAGAGGGUGCGAACGUUGCUCGGAAUUACUGGGCGUAAAGCGCAUGUAGGCGGAUCCAUAAGUCGGGCGUGAAAUCCCCAGGCUCAACCUGGGAACUGCGUUCGAAACUGUAGGUCUAGAGUGUCGGAGAGGAUGGCGGAAUUCCUGGUGUAGAGGUGAAAUUCGUAGAUAUCAGGAGGAACACCGGUGGCGAAGGCGGCCAUCUGGACGACAACUGACGCUGAGAUGCGAAAGCGUGGGGAGCAAACAGG